CCUACGGGAGGCAGCAGUGAGGAAUAUUGGUCAAUGGACGAGAGUCUGAACCAGCCAAGUAGCGUGAAGGAGGACGGCCCUAUGGGUUGUAAACUUCUUUUAUAGGGGAAUAAAAGGUGCCACGUGAGGGAUUUUGUAUGUACCAUAUGAAUAAGGAGCGGCUAACUCCGUGCCAGCAGCCGCGGUAAGACGGAGGAUCCGAGCGUUAUCCGGAUGGAGUGGGUUUACAGGGAGCGUAGGUGGCUUGUUAAGUCAGUUGUGAAAGUUUUCGGCGAAACCGUAAAAUUGCAGUUGAAACUGGCAGUCUUGCGUACAGUAGCGGUGGGCGGCAUUC
rnacentral:rRNA from 1 species